rnacentral:tRNA from 1 species
GGGCUAGGACGGCCUUUUAAUCCGUAGGUUGUGGGUUCGAGUCCCACGGGGCCCA